CCUACGGGAGGCAGCAGUGGGGAAUAUUGCACAAUGGGGGAAACCCUGAUGCAGCGACGCCGCGUGAGUGAAGAAGUAUUUCGGUAUGUAAAGCUCUAUCAGCAGGGAAGAAAAUGACGGUACCUGAUUAAGAAGCCCCGGCUAACUACGUGCCAGCAGCCGCGGUAAUACGUAGGGGGCAAGCGUUAUCCGGAUUUACUGGGUGUAAGGGGAGCGUAGACGGCAGCACAAGGCUGGAGUGAAAUGCCGGGGCUUAACCCCGGAACUGCUUUGGAAACUGUGCAGCUAGAGUGCAGGAGAGGUAAGUGGAAUUCCUAGUGUAGCGGUGAAAUGCGUAGAUAUUAGGAGGAACACCAGUGGCGAAGGCGGCUUACUGGACUGUAACUGACGUUGAGGCUCGAAAGCGUGGGGAGCAAACAGGAUUAGAUACCCGAGUAGUC
rnacentral:rRNA from 1 species